UAACGGCGAGUGAAGCAGCAAUAGCUCAAAUUUGAAAUCUGGCGUCUUCGGCGUCCGAGUUGUAAUUUGUAGAGGAUGCUUCUGGGCAGCCACCGACCUAAGUUCCUUGGAACAGGACGUCAUAGAGGGUGAGAAUCCCGUAUGCGGUCGGAAAGGCACCCUACACGUAGCUCCUUCGACGAGUCGAGUUGUUUGGGAAUGCAGCUCUAAAUGGGAGGUAAAUUUCUUCUAAAGCUAAAUAUUGGCCAGAGACCGAUAGCGCACAAGUAGAGUGAUCGAAAGAUGAAAAGCACUUUGGAAAGAGAGUUAAAAAGCACGUGAAAUUGUUGAAAGGGAAGGGAUUGCAACCAGACUUGCUCGCGGUGUUCCGCCGGUCUUCUGACCGGUCUACUCGCCGCGUUGCAGGCCAGCAUCGUCUGGUGCCGCUGGAUAAGACUUGAGGAAUGUAGCUCCCUCGGGAGUGUUAUAGCCUCUUGUGAUGCAGCGAGCGCCGGGCGAGGUCCGCGCUUCGGCUAGGAUGCUGGCGUAAUGGUUGUAAUCC
rnacentral:rRNA from 1 species